AGAGUUUGAUCAUGGCUCAGAUUGAACGCUGGCGGCAGGCUUAACACAUGCAAGUCGAACGGUAACAGGAAGAAAGCUUGCUUUCUUUGCUGACGAGUGGCGGACGGGUGAGUAAUGCUUGGGAAUCUGGCUUAUGGAGGGGGAUAACUACGGGAAACUGUAGCUAAUACCGCAUAAUAUCGAGAGAUUAAAGGGUGGGACCGCAAGGCCACCUGCCAUGAGAUGAGCCCAAGUGGGAUUAGGUAGUUGGUGAGGUAAGGGCUCACCAAGCCGACGAUCUCUAGCUGGUCUGAGAGGAUGACCAGCCACACUGGAACUGAGACACGGUCCAGACUCCUACGGGAGGCAGCAGUGGGGAAUAUUGCACAAUGGGGGGAACCCUGAUGCAGCCAUGCCGCGUGAAUGAAGAAGGCCUUCGGGUUGUAAAGUUCUUUCGGUAGCGAGGAAGGCAUUUAGUUUAAUAGACUAGGUGAUUGACGUUAACUACAGAAGAAGCACCGGCUAACUCCGUGCCAGCAGCCGCGGUAAUACGGGGGGUGCGAGCGUUAAUCGGAAUAACUGGGCGUAAAGGGCACGCAGGCGGUGACUUAAGUGAGAUGUGAAAGCCCCGGGCUUAACCUGGGAAUUGCAUUUCAUACUGGGUCGCUAGAGUACUUUAGGGAGGGGUAGAAUUCCACGUGUAGCGGUGAAAUGCGUAGAGAUGUGGAGGAAUACCGAAGGCGAAGGCAGCCCCUUGGGAAUGUACUGACGCUCAUGUGCGAAAGCGUGGGGAGCAAACAGGAUUAGAUACCCUGGUAGUCCAA
rnacentral:rRNA from 1 species